rnacentral:rRNA from 1 species
UGAGGAAUUUUCCACAAUGGGCGAAAGCCUGAUGGAGCAAUACCGCGUGGAGGAAGAAGGUCUGUGGAUCGUAAACUCCUUUUCUCAGAGAAGAAGUUCUGACGGUAUCUGAGGAAUAAGCACUGGCUAACUAUGUGCCAGCAGCCGCGGUAAUACAUAGAGUGCAAGCGUUAUCCGGAAUAAUUGGGCGUAAAGCGUCUGUAGGUGGUUUAAAAAGUCUAAUGUCAAAUACGAUGGCUCAACCAACGGCAGGCAUUAGAGUACUAUUAAACUAGAGUUUGGUAGAGGUAGAGGGAAUCCCUAAGCGUAACAGUGAAAUGUGUAGAUUUUAGGGAGAACACCAGCGGCGAAGGCGCUCUACUGGGCCAAUACUGACACUGAGAGACGAAAGCUAAAGGGAGACGAAAAAGGAUUAGAUACCCUUGUAGUCUUAGCUGUAAACGAUGGAAACUAAGUGGGGGAGGGCCAUAAGCAGUUUCUGCUUAUGCAGCUAC